rnacentral:lncRNA from 1 species
CCAAGGCGGGGCGCUACGUGGGACUCGAGCCCAGGCCCAUCAUACCUGAGCCGAAGGCAGACGCUUAACGACUGGGCCCAGGCGCCCCCGCAUUUAUUUAUUUUGUCUCAGAGCGUCCACUGAAAGACUGUGCCCUGCCCAGGACUGUGCCAUCGAGAGAAAAGGGCAGACUUGAAAAGCUUUCCCUAACCUGUGUGUGAAUUGUGACCCCAGGACUCCCCUAGCUUGGGCUCCCAGACCAGACGCCUGUGUCCCGAGGGGCUGCCUACAGUCCUGUGGCCCUCAGACGCAGACGCGGUUUCCUCUGUCGUGGGCCAGGCCGGUUUGAGUCUGAGGGAGAAAACCGCUAGACUGGCCAGUUUGCCACUUUGUCAACUCUUGUCAUUUAUAUAAUUUAGUGUUUACAUCCAUUUUGAAAUGAGUCAUGGUCUACUUGUGUUUUCUCACGAAGGACAAAAGCUCCAGUUAAUGCCUUUCCCAGGCCCUUCACACUGCACCACUUUCGGAGCCCGCGGGCAACGGCACCCAUCUCCGUUCUCCCACGACCCUCCGUCCGGACGAGAGCAGCACCUCCACGCUGACUGGGCAGUCAGAGCAACAUUCCCCUUACGACACUUGACGCUUUUGCUCACGAUAUGCUUAACAUCUAAGCUGCGUAUUGAGGAAAAGAGCUAUGACUUGUACUUCAUUUCACACCGUCAUCGUGGAGCCGUGGGGUUAAGCACAGCUAAGGACGAGGAUGACUCAAAGUUGAUGACUGGCAGCUACUGACCCGUUUCCUGUCCGGAUGUUACCAAGGUCAUUACUCUUUGUGAAGGAGCAGCCUCUAUGGUAUUACCUGAAGAGUAUUAUGAAAUUUCAUGAUGGCUAUGAGUAUGUAUUUCUAUAAAGGCAAAAAUAAUUCCUCU